GUUUUUAUAGUUUAACUAAAACAUUAGUUUUGUAAACUAAAAAUAUUAAAUAAAAUUAAAAACU
rnacentral:tRNA from 1 species